rnacentral:rRNA from 1 species
CCUACGGGAGGCAGCAGUGAGGAAUAUUGGUCAAUGGGCGUAAGCCUGAACCAGCCAAGUCGCGUGAGGGAUGAAGGUUCUAUGGAUCGUAAACCUCUUUUAUAAGGGAAUAAAGUGUGGGACGUGUCCUGUUUUGUAUGUACCUUAUGAAUAAGGAUCGGCUAACUCCGUGCCAGCAGCCGCGGUAAUACGGAGGAUCCGAGCGUUAUCCGGAUUUAUUGGGUUUAAAGGGUGCGUAGGCGGCCUUUUAAGUCAGGGGUGAAAGUCUGUGGCUCAACCAUCAAAUUGCCGUUGAAACUGGGAGGCUUGAGUAUGUUUGAGGCAGGCGGAAUGCGUGGUGUAGCGGUGAAAUGCUUAGAUAUCACGCAGAACCCCGAUUGCGAAGGCAGCCUGCCAAGCCAUGACUGACGCUGAUGCACGAAAGCGUGGGGAUCAAACAGGAUUAGAUACCCCGGUAGUC